AGUUUGACUCCGUGGCUCGAGGACGACGCUGGCGGCGUGCCUAAUACAUGCAAGUCGAACGGUCUUUUCUAUGGAAGCUUGCUUCCACUGAGAAGAUAGUGGCGAACGGGUGAGUAACACGUGGGUAACCUGCCCAUAAGAGGGGGAUAACAUCCGGAAACGGGUGCUAAUACCGCAUAGUUUUCUUGAUUGCAUGAUCGGGAAAGGAAAGACGGCCUUUGUGCUGUCGCUUAUGGAUGGACCCGCGGCGUAUUAGUUAGUUGGUGAGGUAACGGCUCACCAAGACGAUGAUACGUAGCCGACCUGAGAGGGUGAUCGGCCACAUUGGGACUGAGACACGGCCCAAACUCCUACGGGAGGCAGCAGUAGGGAAUCUUCCGCAAUGGACGAAAGUCUGACGGAGCAACGCCGCGUGAGUGAUGAAGGUUUUCGGAUCGUAAAACUCUGUUGUUAGGGAAGAACAAGUGCCGUUCGAAAGGGCGGCACCUUGACGGUACCUAACGAGAAAGCCACGGCUAACUACGUA
rnacentral:rRNA from 1 species